GGGUAGGUGUCUGAGUGGUUGAAGGUGCCAGUCUUGAAAACUGGUGGGUAUUUAUAGUAUCCCCAAGGUUCGAAUCCUUGUCUACCCG
rnacentral:tRNA from 1 species